AUGGGGCACCCACCAGUCCGGCGCACUCCUCAACCAGGACGCCUGCCGGGUAUGAGGCCGCCGCAGCCACCUGCCACCAAUCCAUCUUCAGUGUUGUACUGCUGCAUCUACCUUGCCCGGUCUAGCUGUCGUCGACGCCACCACGACGCCAGACAACACCACCAUCCUAUGCUCGUCUAUCAUCACACGCCCACCGGCGAGACCCCGAUGCUCCAUGCCGAUGUCGACGUGCCAGAUGCCAUGCCGCUCCUCUGUCGCGAACACCACCUGCUACCACUGGUCCCAUCCCCUCCGCCUGCAGUUCCUCUAACCGAGCACCCAAACGCCCCAGGCGGUGCCUCCAAGAAGGAUACGUCACGCGUAGUGCCGCCGCCUCCCAAUCUAAGAAGAUUUUAG
rnacentral:rRNA from 1 species